GAUGAACGCUGGCGGCGUGCCUAAUACAUGCAAGUCGAGCGAACAGACGAGGAGCUUGCUCCUCUGACGUUAGCGGCGGACGGGUGAGUAACACGUGGAUAACCUACCUAUAAGACUGGGAUAACUUCGGGAAACCGGAGCUAAUACCGGAUAAUAUAUUGAACCGCAUGGUUCAAUAGUGAAAGACGGUUUUGCUGUCACUUAUAGAUGGAUCCGCGCCGCAUUAGCUAGUUGGUAAGGUAACGGCUUACCAAGGGGACGAUGCGUAGCCGACCUGAGAGGGUGAUCGGCCACACUGGAACUGAGACACGGUCCAGACUCCUACGGGAGGCAGCAGUAGGGAACCUUCCGCAAUGGGCGAAAGCCUGACGGAGCAACGCCGCGUGAGUGAUGAAGGUCUUCGGAUCGUAAAACUCUGUUAUUAGGGAAGAACAAAUGUGUAAGUAACUAUGCACGUCUUGACGGUACCUAAUCAGAAAGCCACGGCUAACUACGUG
rnacentral:rRNA from 1 species